rnacentral:rRNA from 1 species
CAGCAGCCACGGUAAAACGAAGGGUGCAAGCGUUAAUCGGAAUUACUGGGCGUAAAGCGUGCGUAGGCGGUGAGUCAAGUCUGCUGUGAAAUCCCCGGGCUCAACCUGGGAAUGGCAGUGGAUACUGGCUCGCUAGAGUGUGUCAGAGGAUGGUGGAAUUCCCGGUGUAGCGGUGAAAUGCGUAGAGAUCGGGAGGAACAUCAGUGGCGAAGGCGGCCAUCUGGGACAACACUGACGCUGAGGUGCGAAAGCGUGGGGAGCAAACAGGAUUAGAUACCCGAGUAGUCCCUGUCUCUUAUAC